rnacentral:lncRNA from 1 species
ACGGAAGCCAUUACACCUGUGAUUAAUGAAUCAGAAACAUCCUCUUCCAGAAAGCAGGUCCAGGAGAACUGGGGAUUCUGAGAAAUUAGGACAGACGUGCACUAGGAACAGAAGAAAGAAUCGUACCUACUGGAAUGCACUCAGGCCAAGCCACAAACUGGAAAUCAGAGUUAAGCCCAGGUUCUCCCUACCCCCCCUACUGCUCAGAACCUCUCUAUUCCAAGUA